UACAGAGGGUGCAAGCGUUGUUCGGAAUUACUGGGCGUAAAGCGUGCGCAGGCGGUGAUGUAAGACAGUUGUGAAAUCCCCGGGCUCAACCUGGGAACUGCAUCUGUGACUGCAUUGCUGGAGUGCGGCAGAGGGGGAUGGAAUUCCGCGUGUAGCAGUGAAAUGCGUAGAUAUGCGGAGGAACACCGAUGGCGAAGGCAAUCCCCUGGGCCUGCACUGACGCUCAUGCACGAAAGCGUGGGGAGCAAACAGG
rnacentral:rRNA from 1 species